rnacentral:rRNA from 1 species
AGGGUGCAAGCGUUGUUCGGAAUCAUUGGGCGUAAAGCGCGCGCAGGCGGUCUGUCAAGUCUGAUGUGAAAUCCCGGGGCUCAACCCCGGGCGUGCAUUGGAAACUGAUGGACUGGAGUUUGGGAGAGGCUAGUGGAAUUCCAGGUGUAGGGGUGAAAUCCGUAGAGAUCUGGAGGAACACCGGUGGCGAAGGCGACUGGCUGGACCAAUACUGACGCUGAGGCGCGAAAGCGUGGGGAGCAA